AGAACGAACGCUGGCGGCAUGCCUAACACAUGCAAGUCGAACGAGACCUUCGGGUCUAGUGGCGCACGGGUGCGUAACGCGUGGGAAUCUGCCCUUGGGUUCGGAAUAACAGUUGGAAACGACUGCUAAUACCGGAUGAUGACGUAAGUCCAAAGAUUUAUCGCCCAGGGAUGAGCCCGCGUAGGAUUAGCUAGUUGGUGAGGUAAAGGCUCACCAAGGCGACGAUCCUUAGCUGGUCUGAGAGGAUGAUCAGCCACACUGGGACUGAGACACGGCCCAGACU
rnacentral:rRNA from 1 species